AGAGCUUUCCUCUGCUCUCCUGCUUUCCAGGAAAACUUUGUACUUCAUUCUGGAAUGAAACACCUCUUUUGAUCAAAAAUUUUCCUCUACUGGCUGAAAUUUAAUUCUGGCAAAUAUUUGUAUGUCUUGUUUUCUGAUAACAAUGUUGUUCAUUAACUCAGAAAUUUCUCUUUCUGUUCCUCCAUACCAGCUCCUUACACUCCAUUGCCUUUGAUGGAAAAAGGAUUGCUCACUUCUCAUGCCUGUGGUUCCCUGUAUUUCUGACAAAGCUUUGUGAUUGCCUUCUCAGAGAGCUUCUGCCAUGCAAGACAGCCUAACCGUGGUGGAGUACCCUGUUGAGGAGUAAGUAAGCAGGCAGAGUCAUUGUCCUCAGUCCAGCUUCUGUCACACCCAGAAUUGUGCCUUUGUCCAGCAAACAACCUCAACAGACUGGGAGAGAAAACUGAAAGUGAAUUUUUGGCAAUGUGGGAAACCCUAGACUCUUUCCUUUUAUACAGU